rnacentral:rRNA from 1 species
UACGAGGGGUGCAAGCGUUGCUCGGAAUUAUUGGGCGUAAAGGGUAUGUAGGUGGUCUCAUUUGUCUGGGGUGAAAGCCUUGAGCUUAACUCAAGAAGUGCCCUAGAAACGGUGAGACUGGAGUCCUGGAGAGGGUCGUGGAAUUCCCGGUGUAGCGGUGAAAUGCGUAGAGAUCAGGAGGAACACCGGUGGCGAAGGCGGGUCUCUGGGCAGUAACUGACGCUGAGGUGCGAAAGCGUGGGGAGCAAACAGG